rnacentral:rRNA from 1 species
AUUGAACGCUGGCGGCAUACUUUACACAUGCAAGUCGAACGGCAGCGCGGGCUUCGGCCUGGCGGCGAGUGGCGAACGGGUGAGUAAUGCAUCGGAACGUGCCCAGUAGUGGGGGAUAGCCCGGCGAAAGCCGGAUUAAUACCGCAUACGACCUGAGGGUGAAAGCGGGGGACCGAAAGGCCUCGCGCUAUUGGAGCGGCCGAUGUCGGAUUAGCUAGUUGGUGGGGUAAAGGCUUACCAAGGCGACGAUCCGUAGCUGGUCUGAGAGGACGACCAGCCACACUGGGACUGAGACACGGCCCAGACUCCUACGGGAGGCAGCAGUGGGGAAUUUUGGACAAUGGGGGCAACCCUGAUCCAGCCAUGCCGCGUGCGGGAAGAAGGCCUUCGGGUUGUAAACCGCUUUUGUUCGGGAAGAAAUCCUCUGGGCUAAUACCCCGGGGGGAUGACGGGACCGGAAGAAUAAGCACCGGCUAACUACGU